CGGGGCAGAGACGAGCGGCUCGGCCACACGAUGGGGAGCGCCUGGAGUCAGCAGAAGCUGGAAGGGGUGAAGACAGAGUCUCCCCUGGAGCCUUCAGAGGCCACGCUCAGAAUUCUGGCCCCCAGAACAGAGACUUUGGCCUUAAUACUUGGAAUGUUUCCAGCAGCUUCAGACAGGAUGUUCAGGCUGUGCAGAAGGCUGGGAAACUGGUUUCUGUUCUAAACAAGCACAGGAAGAGGAACAAGGGCCCGUGGGCCCAUGUGCCCAACCACUGAGUCUGCACUCGAGAGCCCGUGCUCCGCAGCAAGAGAAGCCGCUGCACUGAGAGGCCUCGGCACCGCAAAUGGAGAAAGCGCACGCGCAGUGGCGACGAC